CCACGCAGUAAACGAUGAUUACUAGGAGUUUGCGAUAUACCGUCAAGCUUCCACAGCGAAAGCGUUAAGUAAUCCACCUGGGGAGUACGCCGGCAACGGUGAAACUCAAAGGAAUUGACGGGGGCCCGCACAAGCGGAGGAACAUGUGGUUUAAUUCGAUGAUACGCGAGGAACCUUACCCGGGAUUGAAAUGUAGAUGACGGAUGGUGAAAACCGUCUUCCCUUCGGGGCGUCUAUGUAGGUGCUGCAUGGUUGUCGUCAGCUCGUGCCGUGAGGUGUCGGCUUAAGUGCCAUAACGAGCGCAACCCACAUCGGUAU
rnacentral:rRNA from 1 species